GGGAAACCUUUAUUUAUUGGCGGCCUAUUUCCUUUUUAGAGGAACUCGUCUCAUAAUCGUCACUCCUCGUUAACUUUUACUUUUUUUUUUCUCUUAUACCGCCGUCUUCAGAUUCAAUUUAAUUUUUCGAAAAAAAAAUCUCUUAUCAAGUCAGGUAAAGGUGAGGACUUAUAAAAAAGAGAAGAUAAGUUACUUAUAAAAAUUAUUUUUGGAUAUUUUCUUAACAUUAUUAUUGAAAUAGGAUUUAACAGUAAUUUUUCAAUAAUA
rnacentral:rRNA from 1 species